CUGAUUUCUGCACCCACUCCCAACCAUCUGAAGCCAUCCAUCGGCCUGAUUUUUCCUUGACACCAUUUGCACUCACCCACUCCAGCUCCUUUUUGAGUGAAUACCCACUGUUCUUUGGGACAUGUCCCAUUUUGAGGGAUACGGGCUAUUCUGUAAGCCUGUAGGCAGGGCUUGAUUUGCUUGCUAUGGAUCUUCUGUAAGAAACUUGGGAAAACAUUUUGAGUAGCAAUUGAGAUUUAAAAAAUUCUUUCAGUAUAAUCUUGAUAUUCAAAGCCUAGUGAGAAGCAAUUAAGCAUGUGCCCUUUGGAUUUAUUUGGGUCCAAAUCCCAGAAUUCUCCAUUCUGGGAUUCGGAAUCCAAAAAAUCCAAAUAGCACAUCACUAGCAGCCACUAUGUGCUUAAGUUCCAGGAGCAAACAGAGGUGAGCCACAUUAUUUAGUCCCCUUGACUGGCUAGAGAGAGAGGAGGUCUUUGGACUGAUCAGGUGUAAAUAAGGUCCUUCUGGAGUCCUCUUACGUGCACCAGAUACCUUGUAUGCCAAGCUCUGACACAGGUGUGCAUCAAAGAACCACACAUACUUAGGCUCCAGAUCUGGUACAAGCAUUUACCGUAUUUUUCGCUCUAUAAGACGCACCUUUCCAUAAGACGCACCGAUUUUUUAGGAGAAGAAAACAGGAAAAUAUAAUCUGUUUUCUUCGCUCCAUAAGAUGCACAGACUUUCCACCCCCCUGUUUUGUGGGAAAAAAGUGAGUCUUAUGGUGCAAAAAAUACAGUAUUUUACUUCGCUCUCUACAAAUUGUAUCUUCUUUUUGCCUACUCUUAACCCUUUAUCCCCCAGAAAGUUUAACAAGCCAAUUGAACUUUUCCUCACUACCUUCCCCUCCUGUUUAACACUUAAUGGUUUCAAAUUGGGAGCUUCCAAACGGACUCCAUUCACUCCCAUUGCUCUUAGGACUCCUCCUGAGGAUUCCAUUUCAUGUACACUCUUGGAUAACGUUGAUUGUUCCCCCUGUGUCUACUCAGAGAGUCACAUUUCCCCCUUUCUCUUUACAUACAGCACAAACAUCCCCAGGGCAGAGGAGCUCUUGGCCCUGAGCCCCUCCUUUCCCUCCUGUUUAACCACGAGGAGUUGCAAAAUCAGAACCUCCUCAGUUUAUCCAGUAGCUCUCAAUAUUUUCACCUUCCCCUUUGUACAUUGCCAAUUAUAAUUUAUUUUAUUUUUAUGCAUUUUCCAACACAAUGUGGAGUGGGUCGCUCCAGUGUCUACCAAAAAUCCUCACUCUCUAGACCCACUCUAUAUUUUAUCAAGGACUCCUUUAUCGUCUUUCCCCUGUGGUUGUCCAAAGGCUUUUGUCAUGCUGAUGUUAGUAGGUAUUAUCUGCUGAAAAGCCUGUAACAUAUAUCGGCAGUAAGUUUCACAAUGUGUUCGCCCUGCUUGAGUUUGGAAAUUCCAAUCAGCCGGGGUUUCCUCCGGAAAGUUUUCCCUGGCUUCUGCCUCAAAGGUUGGAGGAGAUGUGAGGAUCCCACUAAUCCUGUAUCUUCCUCGCCCUUUUUUGGAGUGGUAGGUCGUACCUGACCUUUCCGUCCCUUUAAAUCUUGCAAUUCCCAUCCGAAUUGCCCUAUUUGCAAGCUCCUAGGUUCCUUUUCUAACCUCCUACAAUGCUCUUCGCAUUUCCCCUCCUCCUCCAGCUGCAUCGCCUGUCGAAACAGCUCGCGCCUGCCUUCUCCUCCCUGUCUUGCCCCUCUUCGCUUGCUACAAUGACUUCCCUUGCCUUCUUUACAAUAUCCUCCAAUGACAAUUCAGCUAGAUUAUCGAACUUCUGCAAUUUCUUCUUAACAUCAUUUCCUUCUUCAGUUUUCCCAAAUAACCCUUCCUCUUUUUCUUUACUCUCCUCCUUCCUUUCUUUACUCUGUCUCUCUCUCUUCGCCUAGCUUCACCAAGUAUUUCCAGAGACUCCUUAAAUGUGAACACAAUCAGGGCCCCUUGCCCCCCUUCUUCAUCCCCUCCUGUGAGUCAUAGCUCCACUGGCCUCAACCCACACUGCCCCAUCCUGCAAUUUUUUUAUACCCUCCAAUACAGCCGCUGCGUAACAGCUUCCAAAAUUUCCUUCUCCCUUCAUUUCCUCAAAGUCACAAGGUUCAAACUUUGGCCACCGUGGCUGAAUGUUAAAUGGUGGCGCACAAUCACACCAUUUCUCCAGGGGUCUGCCAGUCUUGCGUCUUAACCUGUUCCCAAUGCAGGAGUAGCCACGCAAGUGGACUACCUCCAGGAAUUCCUAGCUCUGAUGACCCUUUCAAAGCCUGGGCGUCCCCAAACGGAAUUCCUUCCCCAGUCUCCUUGUCUAAUUUUUUUAGACGUCUUGUUUCCCAUACCGCUGGCUUAAACAGACACAAAAGGUGAGGGGAGUGCGAGAGAGGUAAGGGAUCCUCAAUCGCAGACACACAAAGGGAAAUAAUUUCACUCGCCUCAGUCUGGCUCCUGCUUACUCACUCACUCUCCAAACACACAACAGCGUCCCACCCACUAAUCCAGGACAAUUUUCAAACACUCACCGAUAGAUCUGAUGUCCCGCGAGGUCGACCUGCCUCUUCUUUCGCGGAGCGCCUCAAAAUGGGUUCUUGGGAACGAGGCAUCAGGCAGCAACUGAGAAAGCGGCCGUUAAAAAAAAAUAACGGGGGCCCUCCGAUUUCGCAAGCCACUCGCCUGUCCACCUCGAGCCCAACGGGACUAACACAGCCCGGCUCAAAAGGGCAAUUUAAAGUCCCAUCUGGGGUGCCAAAUUGUUAACCGGCUUUAAGGGGGGGGGGUAAAUUCCCUUACGCCCCAACAACCAAACAAGAGACAAAGAGUGCUCUGCGAAAGAAGUUUUAUUUUUACAAUUCUGCAGAAUUGGAGAGAACACCGUCAAAAAGCACCGGAGUCUCUGCCCAAAACCGGAAAUACACAAGAUUAUAAAAGGCUCCUAAUAAUGAGCUCACCGCCUUGGAAUGUUACCAAAUAAGGUCAUAAAACCAUUUUGUGGCUAUUCAUUGGUGAGGUCUUAUCAGUAAGUUUCCUCUACUUCUUCUUUAUGUUUAAUAAAGGAUGUCCAGUAGAUGGCA
rnacentral:lncRNA from 1 species